rnacentral:lncRNA from 1 species
AGCUAUUUUAUUUAAAAAUGAAAAUCACAAAUCCUAGCCUACCUAAUGAACCCAAUCACUCAUUCCGCCGCACCACGAAUCCUAGCUAACCCCGCUGUCUUUGAAAUCCCGUCAUCCCUUUCCACCACCAGCUGGUGGCGACACCCCAACCCACCCCAAACUGUCAUCAUACGGUCAUCACACACUCCUCUUUCACAAUCUAUCACGAGUUCGUCUUAAAUCCUCACCAGAUCUUUUUAAACUCGGAUCUAAAUUUUGUUUCCUUUUCUCCUUUUCUUAUUUCUUGGCUCAUGGUCAUUCGUCGUUACCUAGAACCUACGUCAAUAGAGUGUUCUUGACAAAGAGCAAUCAAUUGACUUUAGUUGUGGUUAUUUUGUAACUGCCAAUUUAGACCAGUCCAUCCUAUUGACAGGAUUUAUGAGGGUCGUCGGAGUUUGGUGCUUCUCUAAUUUGUUAGGAAUCUGCUAGGUAAUCUUCUACUCCUUUUAUGGUUUUUUUUUCUUUAUUCUUCUUUUUUUUAGCUCUAGAUAAUCAUGUUUUAGUUUCUGUUUGUAUUUUGUCAAUUAAAAGGUUCAAUUAUUUGUUGUUUGGGAUUUAAUUUACACUAAUCAAUUUGAUUAUUUGGAAAAGAACUGUUUGUCUAGUUUACUUGAUUAGUUGCUUUUAGGUUUUUCUUAUGAUUAAUUAACCAACUAGUUUUAGUCCAUAGUAUUUAGCUUAAUUUUGUUGUUUCUUUAGAUUGUCAACUUUGGGUCUAUUUUGAGCCUUUUGUUAUCCCUGGGUUGGGCAGUAGAAGCCAAUUGUUAUAGCUUGGGUCUUGGGUCAGUAUUGAGGAGUAACUACAUGAGUGUCAAGGGUUGUUUGGGUUAUUGGAGGAUUGGGAAAAUUUUCUGUUAUGGGAGAGGCUUCUAGAGGAAAAGGGCAGACUUGCGUGUCAAGGGAUAAGAAUGGGUUUGGAUAUUUUGAGGUGUUAAGGGGUAAAAUGAUAUGAAAAACAAGGGGUAUAAAAGGUCAAUUGAAGGCUUGACAAUCCUUCUCUAAGGUUAGCUUAUAAAAGGAUCUUUUGAUAAUUCUAUAGGGGGAUAGCAGAAAAGAAGCACAAAAAUGACUGAAGCCUUUUCUUAAAAAAUACAGAGCUUUCAGCAUUUUUUUCUACACCUAAAAACCUUAAAGCACACACUGACAGAAUUUCUGAGAGUCAAAGAUAUAUACGAAAAAAGAAAACCUGAACACGUAUCUAUUGGUUAGUUGAUGUCAUCUUUUCUAAGUAUUUGAAAGCUUGAACACCUUGCUGAUUUCUGGUUUCGAGCAUGGAUUAAGUUGCUGGUGUUGGUGCUGUUUACAAUUGUUUAAAACUCUAUUGAUCUCAUUGUUAUUUUGCUGAAAAUUUUGUAGCUUUGGUUGUAUCCAAGUAUUCUUUAGAUCAUGAGUAUAUGUGAAGUGCAAAUCUGAAACCAUGUAAUCGAGUUGGAGAUUGAAGGUUGAAUAUUAGCUGAUGUUUCUUUUAAAUCUAUCAUGUUUCCAUAUUGAAUUAGCUUUGUGGUAUGAUUUCUUAAAUUCAUUCAUGCUAUUAUUGUUUCAUAUUUCAUUUCAAGGUUGGAUUUGACUUCAGUUUAUCACAUUAGUUUUGGUUUGAUUAACUAUUUUUGCUAAGCAUAUUGCUUAGGCUUUUGAGGUAUGGAUUUGGGUUAGAUGAGGGAACAUCUCCUGGCUUUGUUUGUUUAAAUAAGUUUAGUUCAGUAGUGAGGUUCAGUCCAAGGAUGAAUUCAUGAUUUUAUUGUCUUGACUAUUUAUUUUAAGUGUCUAAAUGUGUUUAAGAGCCAUGAUUGCCAUUUCAAUAUUCCAUCUAAAUGUAUGGAGUGGUCAUACCAUAAGAACAUGUGUGAGUUCAACAAUAGCUAGUAGUAGUUUUAAUUUUCAAAAGUAUGUGACCAGCAAUUGUUGAAUAUAUAUUGCUUAAUUUUUCUGUAGUUUGAUUCUAAAUUAGAUGAUGAAUAGCUUUUAUUUGCUUU